GUGCUCACAUCAGUAGCACACACGCUAAAAUUGGAACGACACAGAGAAGACUAGAUGGCUCCUGUGCAGGGAUGACGUGCAAAUUUGUGAAGUGUUUCCUAUUUUU
ensembl:snRNA U6 U6 spliceosomal RNA